UACGAAGGGGGCUAGCGUUGCUCGGAAUCACUGGGCGUAAAGGGUGCGUAGGCGGGUCUUUUAAGUCAGGGGUGAAAUCCUGGAGCUCAACUCCAGAACUGCCUUUGAUACUGAAGAUCUUGAGUUCGGGAGAGGUGAGUGGAACUGCGAGUGUAGAGGUGAAAUUCGUAGAUAUUCGCAAGAACACCAGUGGCGAAGGCGGCUCACUGGCCCGAUACUGACGCUGAGGCACGAAAGCGUGGGGAGCAAACAGGGAUAGAAACCCU
rnacentral:rRNA from 1 species